AAAAAGCAACAACUUACAGAACGACCCAUUUUAUUAGCGAAAUUAAAGCAAAGUAUAGAUUUUCCACAUUGGUUUAUAAGCAACAAGAUAGAAAAAAAGGCCUCCUGCCAUCAGCACACCUUAGCCUUUGCGAGAGGAUCGACGGGCAAAGCAAGGGGAGUAGGGUGCAUGUUGGCCAUGCACCUCACGGCACUGACAUUGCCCAAUAGUAGUAGUAGACGAAGCCUUCUGAAGCUCUGUAAGCCUCUUUUUCACGUCGAAGAACAGGUUAUUUAAGCGUUCCAGCAGAUUGGUCAGACAGCUUAUCGCCCCAUCAUCAGUUGUCGACAUUAACACGCCUACUACAACGCUUUGUAGAUAGAUGACCUCCAUCCCGUACUCUUCCAGCAAAGCUCGAGUCAUUUCUUUCUACUCUGAUCGGAGGGAUCGAAGGAGGGAAUAAUUGUUAUAGCGUGAUUGUGGCCCAAUGGCC
rnacentral:lncRNA from 1 species